rnacentral:rRNA from 1 species
GGUGACCUGCGGAAGGAUCAUUAAUGAUUAACUGUCUGUCGAGCUUGCUCACAGACUUAUCAUAUCCAUAACACCUGUGCACUUGUCGGAUGGCUUAGUGAAGACCGCAAGGUUGGAUCUAUCCAUCUACUUUACAUAACAAUCUAGUAACAAAUGUAGUCUUAUUAUAACAUAAUAAAACUUUCAACAACGGAUCUCUUGGCUCUCGCAUCGAUGAAGAACGCAGCGAAAUGCGAUAAGUAAUGUGAAUUGCAGAAUUCAGUGAAUCAUCGAAUCUUUGAACGCACCUUGCGCUCCCUGGUAUUCCGGGGAGCAUGCCUGUUUGAGUGUCAUGAAAACCCUCAACCUUAGAUUGGUUAACACCUUUCUUUGGCUUGGAUUUGGACGUUUGCCGAUGAUAAGUCGGCUCGUCUUAAAAGUAAUAGCUGGAUCUGUCUCGCGACAUGGUUUGACUUGGCGUAAUAAGUAUUUCGCUAAGGACAUCUUCGGAUGGCCGCGUUGCAAGACUAAAGACCGCUUUCUAAUCCAUUGAUCUUCGGAUUAAUAUUCUUGACAUCUGGCCUCAAAUCAGGUAGGACUACCCGCUGAACUUAAGCAUAUC